rnacentral:rRNA from 1 species
GGAGUCUGGGCCGUGUCUCAGUCCCAGUCUGGAUGAUCAUCCUCUCAAACCAUCUAACGAUCGUCGACUUGGUGAGCCAUUACCUCACCAACUAUCUAAUCGUACACAGGCCGCUCCCAAACCGCCCGAAAGCUUUAAUCCGAAGAUCACAUGCGGUAUUAGCACACCUUUCGGUGCGUUAUCCCUCAGUUUGGGGUGCGUUCCCAUGCGUUACUCAGCCGUCCGCCGCUCGUCAGCAACUAGCAAGCUAGUCCUGUUACCGCUCGACUUGCAUGUAUUAAGCCUGUAGCUAGCGUUCAUC